AAGAAUAGCAUCACAUCAAGAGAAAUUAAACAAACAAAUCGCAUCCAAAUGAAGAAUGAGCAAUCCAAAUUCGAAACAAAGCAUCAACAAUCAUACUCGAGAUGCAAACAAAAAAAUAUCCCGCAAAUAAACUAAAUCACCAUCGCAUUUUCACAAAUAGACAAUUACAAUCUCAGAAAUCAGAGGUUUUAAAUUGAAGCAGAAAUUACAAAAUCGAAUCACACACAAGAACAAGAAAUCAAGUUAAAGAAAGAAAACAAAAGUACUGAACUUAGAUUUAGUAUUGGAAGUCUGAUUAAAAUAUACCUAGAAAGCUUGAGCGAAGG
rnacentral:misc_RNA from 1 species